rnacentral:rRNA from 1 species
GACGAACGCUGGCGGCGUGCCUAAUACAUGCAAGUCGAACGAGAGCGACCGGUGCUUGCACUGGUCAAUCUAGUGGCGAACGGGUGAGUAACACGUGGGUAACCUGCCCAUCAGAGGGGGAUAACAUCCGGAAACGGAUGCUAAAACCGCAUAGGUCUUCGAACCGCAUGGUUUGAAGAGGAAAAGAGGCGCAAGCUUCUGCUGAUGGAUGGACCCGCGGUGCAUUAGCUAAUUGGUGAGGUAACGGCUCACCAAGGCCGUGAUGCAUAGCCGACCUGAGAGGGUGAUCGGCCACAUUGGGACUGAGACACGGCCCAAACUCCUACGGGAGGCAGCAGUAGGGAAUCUUCCGCAAUGGACGCAAGUCUGACGGAGCAACGCCGCGUGAGUGAAGAAGGUUUUCGGAUCGUAAAACUCUGUUGUUAGAGAAGAACAAGUGCUAGAGUAACUGUUAGCGCCUUGACGGUAUCUAACCAGAAAGCCACGGCUAACUACGUG